rnacentral:rRNA from 1 species
AUACGGGGGGGGCAAGCGUUGUUCGGAAUUAUUGGGCGUAAAGCGUGUGUAGGUGGUUGAAUAAGUCAGACGUGUCAGCCCUCGGCUCAACCGGGGAAUUGCGUUUGAAACUAUUCGACUUGAGUGCAGGAGAGGAAAGCGGAAUUCCCAGUGUAGCGGUGAAAUGCGUUGAUAUUGGGAAGAACACCGGUGGCGAAGGCGGCUUUCUGGUCUGCUACUGACACUGAGAUACGAAAGCCAGGGGAGCGAACGGGAUUAGAAACCCCAGUAGUCC